rnacentral:rRNA from 1 species
CCUACGGGGGGCAGCAGUGGGGAAUAUUGGACAAUGGGCGAAAGCCUGAUCCAGCCAUGCCGCGUGUGUGAAGAAGGCCUUCGGGUUGUAAAGCACUUUCAGUGGGGAAGAAAGCCUUGGGGCUAAUACCCUCGAGGAAGGACAUCACCCACAGAAGAAGCACCGGCUAACUCCGUGCCAGCAGCCGCGGUAAUACGGAGGGUGCGAGCGUUAAUCGGAAUUACUGGGCGUAAAGCGCGCGUAGGCGGUCUGAUAAGCCGGUUGUGAAAGCCCCGGGCUCAACCUGGGAACGGCAUCCGGAACUGUCAGGCUAGAGUGCAGGAGAGGAAGGUAGAAUUCCCGGUGUAGCGGUGAAAUGCGUAGAGAUCGGGAGGAAUACCAGUGGCGAAGGCGGCCUUCUGGACUGACACUGACGCUGGGGUGCGAAAGCGUGGGUAGCAAACAGGAUUAGAUACCCCAGUAGUC